rnacentral:lncRNA from 1 species
GGAACGGUCCUUGGCAUCACUGUGGCUCUACGAGACCAGCCAUUUUUAAAGGAACCAGGCUGCGGCCCUCACUCGGUCUGAGCCAAGCUUCCUCCUGCACCAUGAGGGGCGUGGAUGGCACCCCCAGCCAGCACACCCAAUGUGUGUCUGCACCCCAGCAAACACCCACCCCUUUGCCCCCUUGCUGGGCUGGGACUGUGUGGUCUCUCCAUGGAUGGAUGAAUCCCCGAAGACACUGCAUUUAUGGCCCUGGACACGGACUCAGGGCCAUCUGGGCACGACAUCUCCAGGGCCCAGGACCUGCAGCAUGGUCCAGAAGGGGGACGCUUCUCCUUCGUCCCACAGACCCCUUGCCCUACGGGGACGGGCACGGCCAGGACAGCGCCCCGCUUGCCCCAGUGUGAAGAUCAUGGGCUGACCAAAGAGCAGGUGAAUGAUUUUCUGCAUUCCAUCAACUUACUUCAGUUGUGGUUGUGUUUGAUCUGCUGGUAUUCGGGAAGAAUCGCUACUGACACCCAGAAUCCAAUCAACACAUUCGGUUUUGCAAAACAGACAUUCAGAGAAACGUAA